rnacentral:rRNA from 1 species
UUGAAGAGUUUGAUCAUGGCUCAGAUUGAACGCUGGCGGCAGGCCUAACACAUGCAAGUCGAACGGUAACAGGAAGCAGCUUGCUGCUUUGCUGACGAGUGGCGGACGGGUGAGUAAUGUCUGGGAAACUGCCUGAUGGAGGGGGAUAACUACUGGAAACGGUAGCUAAUACCGCAUAACGUCGCAAGACCAAAGAGGGGGACCUUCGGGCCUCUUGCCAUCGGAUGUGCCCAGAUGGGAUUAGCUAGUAGGUGGGGUAACGGCUCACCUAGGCGACGAUCCCUAGCUGGUCUGAGAGGAUGACCAGCCACACUGGAACUGAGACACGGUCCAGACUCCUACGGGAGGCAGCAGUGGGGAAUAUUGCACAAUGGGCGCAAGCCUGAUGCAGCCAUGCCGCGUGUAUGAAGAAGGCCUUCGGGUUGUAAAGUACUUUCAGCGGGGAGGAAGGGAGUAAAGUUAAUACCUUUGCUCAUUGACGUUACCCGCAGAAGAAGCACCGGCUAACUCCGUGCCAGCAGCCGCGGUAAUACGGAGGGUGCAAGCGUUAAUCGGAAUUACUGGGCGUAAAGCGCACGCAGGCGGUUUGUUAAGUCAGAUGUGAAAUCCCCGGGCUCAACCUGGGAACUGCAUCUGAUACUGGCAAGCUUGAGUCUCGUAGAGGGGGGUAGAAUUCCAGGUGUAGCGGUGAAAUGCGUAGAGAUCUGGAGGAAUACCGGUGGCGAAGGCGGCCCCCUGGACGAAGACUGACGCUCAGGUGCGAAAGCGUGGGGAGCAAACAGGAUUAGAUACCCUGGUAGUCCACGCCGUAAACGAUGUCGACUUGGAGGUUGUGCCCUUGAGGCGUGGCUUCCGGAGCUAACGCGUUAAGUCGACCGCCUGGGGAGUACGGCCGCAAGGUUAAAACUCAAAUGAAUUGACGGGGCCCGCACAAGCGGUGGAGCAUGUGGUUUAAUUCGAUGCAACGCGAAGAACCUUACCUGGUCUUGACAUCCACGGAAGUUUUCAGAGAUGAGAAUGUGCCUUCGGGAACCGUGAGACAGGUGCUGCAUGGCUGUCGUCAGCUCGUGUUGUGAAAUGUUGGGUUAAGUCCCGCAACGAGCGCAACCCUUAUCCUUUGUUGCCAGCGGUCCGGCCGGGAACUCAAAGGAGACUGCCAGUGAUAAACUGGAGGAAGGUGGGGAUGACGUCAAGUCAUCAUGGCCCUUACGACCAGGGCUACACACGUGCUACAAUGGCGCAUACAAAGAGAAGCGACCUCGCGAGAGCAAGCGGACCUCAUAAAGUGCGUCGUAGUCCGGAUUGAGUCUGCAACUCGACUCCAUGAAGUCGGAAUCGCUAGUAAUCGUGGAUCAGAAUGCCACGGUGAAUACGUUCCCGGGCCUUGUACACACCGCCCGUCACACCAUGGGAGUGGGUUGCAAAAGAAGUAGGUAGCUUAACCUUCGGGAGGGCGCUUACCACUUUGUGAUUCAUGACUGGGGUGAAGUCGUAACAAGGUAACCGUAGGGGAACCUGCGGUUGGAUCACCUCCUU